AAACUCAAAUCCUAAUCCUAACCCGAUCAAAACUCAAUUUGCAAUUUGCAAUCUGAUGUGAGAUUCACAAAUCCACGACAGAGAGGGAUUGAACAGACCCAAGCCCAGCCGCCACAAAGCCGCCGCCCUCCGCUGGAGACAUUGGCCUCCUGCUUCUCCAAGUGACAGCCACUGCCACGGUUCAUAAGGUUUUGUUAUCAAAUAUAAAAACUGGUUUAUGAGAUUGGAAAAUAGGGAUAUGGCAUAAUUAUGUUGUUUCUUUUACCAAUAGAGAAAGAAGCUGUUAGUAAUCUGCUUUGGUGAGAAAUUUCCACAAGGGAGCCGAGCAACAAACAUUUGUAAGUUCUGAAGACAUAAACCAAGCAUUGUUUAGAGAUGUCUGCUAUGGAGGAAGAUGUCUAUAAAAGAAUAAGGUGGAAAAAGAUUAAUCUGGAGUAGAUUACAAGGCUUGAAGAGAUGGAUUUUUAAAGUUGUUCUUCUUCAAGGAAUUUUACAAGCGAGAAGUUGUAAUAAUAAUGUCUUCUAAAUAAAUUUCGCACAUUUAUUUGGUCCAUCUUAAAGCAAUUAUGUAUUGUUUCUUGAAUUUGUUUUUCAAGGAUCAUUUUGGUCCUUCUCUAACU